CUUAUCAAGAGUGGUGGAGGGACUGGCCCUAUGAAACCCAGCAACCUGUUUUUUUCAAGGUGCUAAAUCCAGCGGUAAUUCAGUUCGAUUGAAACGAACCGAUAGAUGAG
rnacentral:ncRNA from 1 species